rnacentral:snoRNA from 1 species
GUGCAAAUGAUGUGAACAUUUUUUUUACCACUGAAUAAUGUGAUGUUUCCAAAGGAACCACUGAUGCAC